rnacentral:misc_RNA from 1 species
AGCAGCCGCGGUAAUUCCAGCUCCAAUAGCGUAUAUUAAAGUUGUUGCAGUUAAAAAGCUCGUAGUUGAAUUUCGGGAUUGACGUGAUGGUCGUGCCUUACGGGGUAUGAACUGUUGCUGUUGAUUUCUCACCUUCUGGAGAAACUUGAUGUCCUUAAUUGGGUGUCUUGCGGAUCCAGGACCUUUACCUUGAAAAAUUAGAGUGUUUAAAGCAGGCAUUUUUGCUCGAAUACAUUAGCAUGGAAUAAUAGAAUAGGACGGCAUGGUUCUAUUUUGUUGGUUUCUAGGAUCACCGUAAUGAUUAAUAGGGAUAGUUGGGGGCAUUAGUAUUCAAUUGUCAGAGGUGAAAUUCUUGGAUUUAUUGAAGACUAACUACUGCGAAAGCAUUUGCCAAGGAUGUUUUCAUUAAUCAAGAACGAAAGUUAGGGGAUCGAAGACGAUCAGAUACCGUCGUAGUCUUAACCAUAAACUAUGCCGACUAGGAAUCA